AACCCUCCUGUUCGGGUUGGACAUGUCUGUAAGGCUAUUAAUACUAAGGCAUGUUCCAGAAACUGUCACUGACAAUUUGACAGACAAUGCAGAAUCAUAAAGUAGGUCGGUCUGGUAUACUUAAGCAAUAAGGCACGAGGGGGUGUGCCCGGAUACAGCCCUUAGCUGUGGUAUACUGGCUAUAUAUUGGUGUUAUAAAACGGGUUACCAACGUAAUUAUAACAUUUGUUUUAAUGUUUGUCAUACCAGUGGUAUACGACACAUUUUAGCCAAUCAGCAUUCAGGGCUCGAACCACCUAGUUUAUAUAAAAGUCUAUAAUAUACUAUAUUGCUGAAAAGUAGAUUUGUUGACACGAGUAACAAGAUAUUGGCAUCAUACGACAGCUACGGUGUCUUUGCGACUCUUCCAAUAGUGUGUAGCUAGCACACAUUGAAAUAGCAAUUUACCUAUUACCUGCCAAAUCUCCCUGCAUUCAGUGGCAGCCGACAAGAGCACACCUUUCCUAAGGACGCUGCCAUCUUAUUCAACUGUGGACGCCCAUCCCUACAGGAAGAGCAUCUUCGGACAUGCGUUGCAAUGCUUCAACAGUGAAGUCCUGGUCCUUGUGUAAUGUGAUAUUGUACCCCCUAGCCCAAUUGUCAUUUGUGUGUGUGUGUGUGUGUGUGUAUAUAUAUAUAUAUAUCUUCAACUACUUUUCAGCCGCAGAUACUGUAUCGUUACAAUGUCCAGUUUCUUUGACUUUUUGUUCAGUACAAUUUAUCAUAUGUGCAAUAAACACCAUUUUAAAAAAUCCACCUUCACCAUCAGCUCCCCUCAACUGUUGAACAACACUGAAUCUACGGUCUAGACAGAUGGGUAUACAGAGAAGAUUUACUUGGGUCCUAACUGUUGAACACUGAAUCUACGGUCUACGGCGCAUCCACCACCAUAUUUUCAGCUCCCUUCGCUCCUUCAACUAUUUCACGUGCAUCAGUGUAGGAGCCCUGCUGUGUUGCCCUGGCCACUUUACACGCGUUUACCCCAAACGGGCACUCCGGGGAAUUGGGCAUGUGUUUUCCGUCACAAUUACACCAUCGAACACCCUCAGAUUCUUCAACAUUCCUCCGGCACACACUUGAUACAUGUCCAU